UGCAUCGAAUGAAAGGCAAAGUGAAUCCCCAUCCUUCAUGUUGAUUGAGGGUGUGGAUGAGAGUGAGAUCAAUUGGGAUGACGGCCAUGUCUUCAAAUUUUAUCAGCAACUCGUUUCUGAGAAAGAAGGACCUGCAAAGAAAGAAAGACUAGGCAAGGAAGAGAUCAGGUCCAUCUUGAGUGUCUUCAAGAAGAUGCAUGAGCUGGAAAUCAAACCAAAUGUUGUGACCUUUUCAGCAAUCCUAAAUGCAUGCAGGUAAAAAUGUUUUGACUUCUAUUUGCCCUCAGGAUAUGCUAUUUAUACUUUUUUCUAUUAUUUGUUCGAAACCUUCAUCAAAUAUCUGCCAAAUUAAGUUAUUUUUGUCUUUUUUAAUAUAAAGAUCUUUUGAGUUGAUUCUCUUCAUCAAUAGCUGCCAUGGACUUAAAAACUAGCAUUUUGACCUGUUACUAGGAUGCAGGAUGAAGUCUUUCCACAAAUGCACUACCAACAUUGGAGAUUUAGGAAAGACUAUCCGUGCAUUGGUUCUUUUUCUGCUAUCAUCAUUUAGUAAUAUCUCUUAGAAAGUGGUGUGCAUUGAAUUUUUUUUAUCAGUCUGGUUUAAGUUUAUCUGAUUCUAGAUGGCAUUGGCAAGCUCACUUCACAAGUCAAAUAUUUAUUAUAAAUGAUCCCCUGUCACAUUUUGUCACAACCUGAAGUCAAAUAUACCACAAAUCAGUGGUAAAUGGUGACCUCUUAUUUUCUAUUAUCCUUCCUUUGAACAAAGGCCAUUGAGCCAGAGCCUCACUUCAACAACCUUUCUGUCUGGUAAAAUUUUGCACUUCAAACCCUCUUCUUUGUAUUACGCUCCCACUUGAUUAAUUUUUCUUGAUGUAUCAUUGGAGGAACUUGUCCUUUCUACUUUCCAGCAUAUUUUCUGAGAUUUUUCCUUUGGUUGUUUGCUUUGGUUUUAUUCUCUAUUAUUAACUAUAACCUCAAGUCAAGCGGAAUAUGCAUUUGAUCCUGAUUGUGGAAUUUGAGUUUUGGGUACAGUCGCUGCAAAUCAAUUGAAGAUGCUUCUAUGCUAUUGGAAGAGCUACGGUUAUUUGAUAAUCAAGUGUAUGGUGUAGCUCAUGGACUGCUUAUGGGGUUUAGUGAGAACGUUUGGAUUCAAGCACAGUAUCUGUUUGAUGAAGUGAAGCAGAUGGACUCUUCCACUGCGUCUGCUUUCUACAAUGCUUUGACAGAUAUGCUGUGGCAUUUUGGUCAGGUGAAGUCUAAGAACUUUCAAAUCUGUUUAGUGACAUUUCUCAUAUCCUAUUUCUCAUUAUUCGUCUGGUUGUUUUUUAUGGAUUUUAGUCAUGCAAAAUGAAAACCGGAUCAAAAUUUAGUCUAGUUACACUAAAUUAACAUGAAAAACCUUAAUAAAAUCAAAUUAGGAUAAUGAAAACUUACCUUGAUAGCUCUUGUAAAUGCUCGAUACUCCACCCGAACUCGAACCAAACCACCACUAGAGUUGACGUACUAUCCUCCGAACUCGAAACCGGGUUGUGGAACCUGAUGAAUGAAGAAAACCGCGAGAGAGAAAAAAAAUGGAAACUUGGAUUAGGGUUGAAUUUUGGGUGAAAUCAAAUUUUCUUUUUUUUUUUUAGUGAAGAAAUUUUAAGAAAAAAAUUGGACAGCCAAAUUCUAUAAGAGCCCAAAAUUCCAACCCAUCAAAAGAAUUGUAAGACACUUUUUAUAAGAAAUGCAAAAUUGCAUGGUAGCCCAAGAACACAUUUUCUCACUAACUUUAGUGAAAGGUUAAAACAGUCAUUUCUUUAAAUUUAGUCAAAGUCAAUAUUAUGUGACUAAUUUCGACCUCUAGAGCAUUUUCAAAUCAAGUUAAUCAACAUCCGUUAAGUACUGAAUCAUUCCACAAUAGUCCCGUAAUGGGACAUCGCUUGUAGAAAAUUAAUUUUUAAGUACGUGGCCUCCAUGGAUUGAACCUAUGAUCUCUUAGUUAGAUAUUGAGACUAUGUCUCCUUUUUUACCAUUAGGCCAACCCAUGAUGUUUUACAAUAGACAGUGUUAUAACGUUAAAGUGACUAUUCCAUGGUUCAGUCUUAUGUAAACUCUUUAUAUAAGAUGCUCCUACUUUCAUGUCCCUAUAUGAACGAUUAUAUACUAUAAAGCAUUUAGGCUACAUACUCGAACUUGAUCUGUGUUUAUGUCUCUAUAUAAAGUUUAAAUUUAGUUAAGAUAGCCUUUGGACCAUAGUUUAUUAAAUUCAAGAUUAUAGUAUUCAAUUUCACCAAUAAUUUGUCAAUAACAACUUUAUUGAGUAAAAUAUAAUUUUAGGGGGAAUUUAAAUUACAAACGACUACGAAUUUUAAGAUAAAUUUCAAUAGUUUUAUGUUUCAUUUUAUACCUGAGAAAUAACAUAGGUAUUUCACAUUCUUGAUUAUUUUCUCCUUUCUACUAGGUACUUUCCUAUUUCCCGGUUUCCUAUUACAUUCUUUUCCCUAUUUACUGUUUUACAUGUAAAUUGAAAUCUAAAAAAGAACUGUCAUUUUUAUUUGUAAAUUAAAACAUAUUCCUUUAGAGGUUCAAAUCUCUUUUACUACUAUGUUUAUUGUACCAAGAGAAAAAAAAGGAAGAAAUGCCGUCAAGUGAAUGUAUCCUAAAAGUGGAACCAAAACGAAAAGGAAACUUAAAUAUCGUAAAAUGGGCUCGAUUUAUUCCAGAAAGGAGGGUCUAACUCUUUUUCCUUUUCUUCCUUGUUAUAAAAGAUAUAUAUCUUUCACACUUUUGCUGCUAAAAACUUGAAUUUGAAAUUUGUAUCUUAUCUACAGAAACGAGGGGCUCAAUUGGUUGUACUUGAAGGAAAAAGGCGCAAAGUAUGGGAAACUUUAUGGUCUGAUUCUUGCUUAGAUUUGCACCUCAUGUCCUCUGGAGCUGCUCGUGCCAUGGUUCAUGCGUGGUUGUUGGGUAUUCAUUCUGUUGUAUUCGAGGGCCAUCAGUUGCCAAAGCUAUUAAGGUAAAUUCAUUCCUCCAUUCACUAUUUUCAGUCUACUUUUAAUAGUUGUAGUUCGAUCUCUGGUUAUUUAACUGUGCUAACUUCCUUAGUUACUCAGGUAUUGAUUUAUUCUUCAUGGACGUGUUUGUUUUAUUGUAUAUAAUGCUAUGUAUACCUUAAGGCACAGUAUCUCGAGGUUUAACUCUGUGACACAUAGUAUGGUAUCUCACUUCAACGUUUCAUUGGAAUGUCGACUUUCUCUGCAUUAAGAUUGAGUGUCCAAUCGGCAGAAAGAGAAGACUGUAUUCUAAGGGGCAUAAAGUUUAUAUUUAAAAAAGAAAGGUGAAAAAAGUCUCUUUGCCUGUCGAAUAUCCUGUUCCUUUCUAGAACCCCUCAGUCGAGCCUCAAGAUUUACUUCUUUUUUUCUUUUAUUUUCUUUCUAAAUUUAUUUCUAUUUUAGUUGAUAACCUUCAAGAAUAGGAGUAGAUUGUGGUGGUACUGAGAGGAAGGGCCAUUUGCCCUCCACAACAGAGCAGCAGAUGCAGAUGAGACCACAGAAAUGCUAAAAUCACCAAUGGGGCAAUUGUAGUGGAGAAAUGUGGCUGAGACUUUUUUUUUUCUGGGAAAGAAAACAUAGCUAUAAACACUUUUCUUUUGAAUGAUAAAAUAAGCGGCAAGACUACUAUCCCAAAAGAGAGUUUCAACGUGCUUAGUAGUGUGCAUAUUGAAUAAAUUCCAUACACUUAGCACUUGAGGUUUCUUACCUACCCAACUAAAGGUGGUUUAAGCAAUGAAAACUAUGCCUCGUGCAAAAUUUGACUUCUCCCUUAUGGCAUAAUAAACUAGAUUUUGUUGGUUCGGUUGACUUGUGGAUCUCCAAUAAUAUUAGGGUCAAGAUAUGGAUCUUUAACUUAGUGAUGGAAGAAAUCUUUUCCAAGUGUAUUCUACUCUCCAUCAACUUGAGAAAUUUGGUUAGAUAUCAAGCAAUAUUUGCACGAGAAUUUAACCUACUAUAUCAAUUAAGUAACAAACUGAAUGACCUUGCAUGGCCAAUUUUUUGUUAGUUCACACUUCACCAAAGCACAAUCUGCUUUGACCAUUGCUCGAUAUUUGCCUCUGGCUCUGCCCUUGCCGAAGAGCAAGGAUAGAUGUUCACUUUUGCUCGUCUAGUUCAUUAGGGAAUUUGUGCCUAGCUCGUUUAAUCUCUCCUGCGUUGGUAGCACUUUCCCUCUCAUCCUCCUUGAUCUGGAAGGUUUGAAUCUCCAAGAAAGUCAAAUUUUUUGCUUAGCAGACCUUCCCUGGGAGAAUUCCCACCGUUCUCGGUCCUCAUAUUGACCUUGUUUUAUGGUAUUACAUCCUAGAGCAACUUCAGAGAGAUUCCUGGAGUCUUGGUAUUCCGAUGGCUCGGAACAUGUCGUGCAAGGCUCUAAUGGAGUAUUCCACCCCUUUUCGUGAUAGAUGGACCUUUCUUUGGCAUGUAGCUUCCUGUGCGUCUUUAUGGAUAUUUGGUGAGAAAUAGGAGUGCCUUCAGUUAUAAGGGAAGGUCCUUGGGAGCGGUUUGAACUUUGGUUAUGUCUGAAGGUCUCUCUUAGGGUUUCUGGCACCAAGUAUUGUCAGUUAUUACCCUUUAUCUCUCACUCAUUCUCAUAAAUAGAAGCCUCUUUCUGUAGUUUUCUGGUGUGUUUUUUUUUCCCUUUGGUUCUUUUGGCUUCGUCUGUAUGCACUUUCCUUCUUUGUAUAGUUUUUUUUGUUUCUCUGAGUCUGGUAAUAUUUUAAACUCAUUCUUUUCAUUGAAAACAAACAUAUUGUUGCAAAUUUCUUACAAUUUUAGUCAAUUGUGCAGCAUUCUGACAGGAUGGGGAAAACACAGCAAAGUAGUCGGUGAUGGAGCUCUUAGACGGGCAAUUGAGGCACUUCUAACUAGCAUGGGGGCGCCAUUUCGAGUUGCAAAAUGUAACAUAGGUAGGUAUGUAUCAACAGGCUCUGUGGUGGCUGCCUGGUUGAAAGAAUCUGGUACCUUAAAAUUACUUGUUCUUCAUGAUGACAGAACUCAUCCAGAUAGUGAAAAUAUGGAUCUAAUUUCCAAACUCCAAACGAUUUCCUUGUAGCAGUAUUUGUAUAAUAAUAUUAUUACACAUCAGAGAUAUGAGAAAGAAAGUUGGCUUCGGCAAAAGUUUACUAAACUGGCAAUGAACCAAACUCUUUUUGUGCCAAAUACCUGAUCGCCCUCAAUUCAAUUCCAAAUUAUUUAGCUGUUAGUCCCUAUUUAUAUAUUACAACUAUAUAGAGAGUAUAUUUAGUAUCACAUGCUUUUGAAUAAUUAACAUUUAUUGAGAUUCUACGAUCAUUUUCUUCAUUUGAAAGGGGAACAUCUAUACAUAUUACUUAUGAACUCGAAGAUACAAAUACAAUUCAUUUUAGUUGGAAUCUUUUUUUUCUUCCAUAAAUAACCAUGAAUAUGAACUAGUAAUGGGAAAAAACAAACUCCCUAACCAAACAAAGUUAAGAAUUACGAACAAUAAAUGAUGAGUAAAUAAAUUGGUUCAAGAGAGUACCUUUAACAGCAAAAACAUCUUCCUCUUAAGCUCAAAAGUGUAAACAUAUAUCUUAAGCUCAAAAGUUUAAACAUAUAUCAUAUUCGUCGGACUCAACAUGAAAUUUGUACAAAAUGAUUCUAUACUUAAUCACUAACUUGAGCAUAACUGAAUAAGGGAAUAAAUUUAAGGAUUCUUGAGUAGGAGAUAGAGAUUCAAUCUUUAUUUCCUAUUUUCUUUUCUAAAGUUUUGCCUAUAUGCUUGUCAUAGCCAUUCACAAUCGAACCAUUACUUUGAACAACAUACCAUACUCAAACGAACCAUUACUUUGAACAAUAUACCAUACUCAAACGAAUCAUGGUGGCUUGGAUAAGGAUGCCUCAAAAUGCUACUCCUUGAUGCCUCGCAACCAUUGCUACAAUUACUGUUUUAUCUCUCAAACUCUUCGGUAAGAAAUUCCUAUCAUAAUUCUUCCUUCAAAUAAAACUUCUAGUUCGAUAAAAAAUACAAAUUUAUAUUUUCCCCUACUUUGUUAGAUAUUUAACCGUAGUUAAUGUAAACUUAACUCGAUGACAAUUAACAUAUUCUUCCAUUCUAGAGGUGAGAGGUUUCAAUCUAUGUUCCCACAAUUGUUUUACUAAAAUGAUAAUAAUAAAAAUAAUUAAACCAUAUAUUUUGACUAUUCACAUCCUUUAUUUAAAACUGAUAUCUCCUAACAUUAUCCCAAAAGAACACCCUAAUCCAACCAAAUAAAAUCUACUUUGGAUUUACCAUCACCAUGGUAAGAUAAGAAACAGAAAUUGUGAAAUUGUGUACAUGUUUUCCAAAUUCUCAAGAAACAAAAAAAGUGAAAAGAAUGAAUAUAACAAAAGCUAAGUGAAUGUAAAAAGGAGAUGCUACUUAAAGAGAAAUUCUUGCAAUAUUUUGAGGAAGAAAACAAGCAAAUAAGAAAGGUUGAUAAAAGAAAAAAUAGAAGUUUAAAAGGAUCAUUAAUUGCUUUAGAAUAUAUGAAGCCAAUGCCUACUUGGCCCUCUUGCUAGAAUCUCACCUCAACAAAAUAUACUGAUUUUUUUUUUGUUUUUGAGAGCUACAUAAUCCAAUUGGUACAACUUUUAAUAUUCUAUUGAUACUCUCUUUUAUGUAUAUGUUUUGAGAUUUCAGUUUAGUAUAGAGUUUUAAAGUUUGGUUGAUAUGUUGACAUUUUAUAUAUACAUAAUCUUUAUGUUCGUAAGUCCAAUAUCGAAAUGGAGGAAGAUCUUUUUUUUCUUUUGUUCAUUUUGUUUAGUACAACAAAGAUAUAGAAAUUUGAACCACCGACCUUAUGAAAAAGGAAUAAUACCGAUACCACUUAACUAUGCUCAUUUUAUUGACAUUUUUUUUGUGUAAUAAAAAAAUCAAUGAAACAUAACAAAAAAAAGUCGACUAAAUAUCACUAGUGUGAAUUUAAUAUUAAUAGUGUCAAAAAAUGUUUUUUAAAAUAAAUAAAAUUGUUGUUUUCAAGUAUAGCAAGAUGAACCAAUUUAUUUACAAAUCUAACAACAUCAGACACCGAUAAAUAUCUAUCAAUAUUUUUCAUUCAUAUUGAAAGAUGUUUAUUAGAGUUUAUCACUUUGUAUCACUAAUAGAUAAUGACACGGUUUAUCUUUAAAAAUAUUUCAAGAAAAUUUUCUAUUUAAAACAAUUACUUGAAAUAAAACCACUAUCUUUUCUAAAUGGGUUUAAAAAAUUGCAAAUUUACCGUGUGUUUAGUAUAGUUUUUCUAACCAAUUUUAGACGACUAAAAACGUUUUUCUUUCUUAAGAUAUAAAAAGCACUUUGAAAAAACUUGAAUUAAUUUUAAAAACACAUAAUAAAACGUUUUUUUUAAAAAGGGACUUUAAAGUCAUUGACACUUUUUUUAAAUAUUAUAAUAAGAAAUCAAAACAUUUUGUAACCGUACUUUUGUUAGAAAAAAUAGAUAAAUAAUAAAAAAAUUAUUAUAAACAGCGAAAUGUGUUGAACAUAUUUAAAAAAUAUAACAAUAUAGUAAAAUUUCAAAAUUUAUCACAUAGAUGAAAUUAUGAAAUUUUGUUAUAUUGAAAAAUGUCUCAGGCACAUAUUUUUAUUAAAAAGUAGCUUUCAAAAUUUUCCAUUUUAACAUUUCAACUUAAAUACUGUUUUAAAGUACUUUUUUUUAAUUGGUUUUAUAUUUUCAAUAGUUAGAGAAAAAAAAGGUCUUUACUACAUCAACAAGUUAACAAAUAUAAGAUUGAUAAGUUUAGGCGACACCAGUUAGAAAAUAAUAUUAAGAAAAUUUUGUCCAAACAACACUAUAUAAUAAAAAGAAAAUGACAAAAGAAUUGAGCGUAAUUAAAAAGAAAAAAGUGUUAUCCUUUGCCCAAAGGAAAAAAACAAAAUAUAGUGUUAAGAGUAGGGACCAAGAAGAAGAUUAUACCAAAUUCCAAGUUUAAAAACUCAUAGAACCUAAAAAGCAACAAAAGUGAAAUUUCAUAGACCAAAAUUCUAUUGUUUACUUUUUUUGUUUUUUUUCUUGAAAGAUAUUUUUUUGGUUUAGGUUUUGGUUCUAAGUCUAGCUUUUAUUUGGUUCUAAUAAAAUUCAAAUACCAAAAAUGAAAUUGUAACAUUUGAAGCUAAAGACUAAAUUGCAUCUUAAAACCUAAUUACUAAAAAUACAAACUAGAACCUUAAACUUAGUGACAAAAAAAUUGUCUCCGAUCCAUUGAAAGUCGGCAGCAAAUCACCAACCACAUUUGAAUCGUAGUACUUGUAAAGGGAAGAACAGAUAGUCAAAGUAUGAGAUUUACAUGGAGCUUCCUGGUUAAGACAUGUAAAAGCUACUAAGAUUAUCCAUUAAAUUCGUCAAUUUAGGGAUUUGUGGGUCCAAUAGCAAAUUAAAAGAAAUGUAUAUGUGCAUAAAACAAAAUUAAAGCGAAAUCACCGACUAACAUAACUAACUUAACCAACCCCUUAUCUAAUUUAAUUAAAGCUCUUUAUGUCUUUUGGUCAACAUGACCCAAUUGGACUCUAUUCUACUUUUCAAAAAAUAAAUUCUUCCCACGAAUUCCAGAACAUCCGUGUAUAUGCAAGUGUCAUAGUUAUAUUUGCUUGAUGAACCUCAACCAAAAUUCUUCAGAGCCUUUUACUUUUAUAUCAUCAAACCUUAUUCCUUGUUGGUUUCAGCUUUUGGAUUUGAAUAAAUUCCAGUGUCCACUCAACACAAUUUGUUGAUUGUUUUCUCAUGGUGUGUGUCAUCAUUUUCAGGUGGUAAAUUUGGCUUCUAAUUGAUCAAGAUAAGGUCUUUUCACUUUUUACCUAUUUAUACCCUUCAGUCAUAAACAAACUACUACUUAAAUUGAUUCUCUGUCUUCAAUGAGGUGAAGUUUUCUCUUUUUCCUUCCCACUUGAACUUUUCCUCCUUUAAUUUUGGAUAACUUCUUUGAUUCUACUUUGUGCAACUGUUUGUUUGCAUUCACCUAUUUCAUUCUGAUGGUUUGCAUGGUUUCUCUAUAAAACCCAUCAAAGGUUUCAGCUCUUUCUGCAUACCAUUCUUCUCUUUCCUUCUAGCUACACUAGAUUACAAAUACCAAUUACCAACCUUCUUUUGUUCUUCUCAUUACAAGUGUAGUUUUUUGUUCGAGCUUACCACCUGGCUUUGACAUUGUCCCUGUAUGGUCACAGGGUUGUUUGUCUUUCAUUGAAAUUUGUUAGAAAGCUUCCAAAUUUCUGAGUGACUAGAGAUUUAUUUCUCCUUGUUUAUCUUAUUUCCAAGUUCUUUGUCAACCAUCUGCCAUGGCACCUCCAAAUGACCCAGCUGCCUUAAACGCUUCUGUUCUGAAAUCUGAUGGUUUGGAAAAUCUUAUUGAUUUUUCAGAUGGGAAGAUCAGUGUUAAAGGAGUUCCAGUGCUGUCCGAAGUCCCAACCAAUGUCUUUUUCAGUCCUUUCUCUUCGAUAAGCCAAUCCUCUGAUGCACCACUUCCUUUGCUCCAACGUGUGCAUAGUCUGUCCUAUAAGGGCGGAUUUCUUGGUUUCGACCAAACACAGCCUUCUGAUAGGCUGACGAAUUCUUUGGGAAAAUUCAAGGGUAGGGAGUUUGUGAGUGUUUUCAGGUUCAAAACAUGGUGGUCGACCAUGUGGGUUGGGAAUUCUGGGUCGGAUUUACAAAUGGAAACUCAAUGGGUCAUGCUAAAUAUCCCUGAAAUAAAGUCAUAUGUCGUUAUCAUUCCCAUUAUUGAAGGAAGUUUCAGGUCUGCCAUGCAUCCUGGGACUGAUGGGCAAGUCUUGAUUUGUGCUGAAAGUGGCUCAACUCAUGUGAAAACAUCGAGUUUUGAUGCCAUAGCCUACGUUCAUGUGUCUGAUAACCCCUACAGGUUAAUGAAAGAGGCCUAUGCUGCUGUUAGAGUCCAUUUGAAUACUUUUAGACUCUUGGAAGAGAAGCCUGUCACACAUCUGGUGGACAAAUUCGGUUGGUGCACCUGGGAUGCUUUUUACUUAACAGUAGACCCUGUUGGAAUUUGGAAUGGGGUUAGUGAUUUUGUUGAAGGUGGUAUCUCGCCAAGGUUUCUCAUCAUUGAUGAUGGAUGGCAAAGUAUCAAUUUGGAUGGUGAAGACCCGACUCGUGAUGCAAAAAAUCUUGUUCUGGGUGGAACUCAAAUGACUGCUAGGCUCUAUAGAUUUGAUGAGUGUGAAAAGUUCAGAAAGUACAAAGGUGGAUCUUUGACGGGUCCAAAUGCUCCGUCGUUUGAUCCAAAAAAGCCAAAGUUGUUGAUCGCGAAGGCAAUCGAGAUUGAGCAUGCUGAGAAAGAAAGAGACAAGGCCAUUGGCUCAGGAGUCACUAAUGUCUCUAAGUUUGAGACCAAAAUUCAGAAGCUAAAGGAAGAGUUGCAUGGGAUUUUUGGGAAAGAAGAAGAAGAAGAAAGUAGUGCCAUAAACAAAGGUUGUACAAGCUGUUCUUGCAAGGCAGAUAACUCUGGAAUGAAGGCCUUCACUAGGGACUUAAGAACAAAAUUCAAAGGUUUGGACGAUAUCUUCGUUUGGCAUGCUCUGGCUGGUGCUUGGGGUGGUGUAAGGCCUGGUGCUACCCAUCUGAAUUCCAAGAUAGUUCCCUGCAAGCUCUCUCCUGGGCUCGAUGGCACAAUGACUGAUCUUGCUGUUGUGAAGAUCAUCGAAGGAAGCAUUGGACUCGUUCAUCCUGAUCAAGCUGACGACUUCUUCGAUUCCAUGCAUUCUUAUCUUUCUAAAGUUGGGAUUACAGGAGUGAAAGUUGAUGUGAUGCACGUAAGUAUCUUGAAAACAAAGCCUUUCAGUUUAAUUUUUUAAACUUAGUGUGAUUAAUAACUGAUCUAUCAACUUUUUCUUCUUAAUGUUUGUUCAAUUCAGACUCUAGAAUAUGUCUCAGAAGAAUAUGGAGGAAGAGUUGAUCUUGCAAAAGCCUAUUAUAAGGGUCUGACCAACUCUCUUCUUAAGAACUUCAAAGGGACUGGCCUUUUCUCUAGUAUGCAACAAUGCAAUGAUUUCUUCUACCUUGGCACAAAGCAAAACUCCAUAGGAAGAGUUGGUAAGAAUUUCAACUUUUUCCAUUUCUUCGUUCUUCAGUCGUUUGAGUUAUAAAAAAAUUGACUACAACCAAUAUUUUGGGGUACAGGCGAUGAUUUUUGGUUUCAAGAUCCAAAUGGUGAUCCCAUGGGUGUUUACUGGUUACAAGGUGUCCAUAUGAUCCACUGUGCAUACAACAGCAUGUGGAUGGGGCAAAUCAUACAGCCUGAUUGGGACAUGUUCCAAUCAGACCAUCUAUGUGCAAAAUUCCAUGCAGGAUCAAGAGCCAUCUGUGGAGGUCCUGUGUAUGUGAGUGAUUCAGUGGGCGGCCACAAUUUUGAUCUCAUAAAGCAGCUCGUGUAUCCUGAUGGAACUAUUCCUAGAUGCCAACAUUUUGCCCUCCCCACUAGAGACUGCCUCUUCAAGAACCCAUUAUUUGACAACAAAACUGUUCUAAAGAUCUGGAACCUUAACAAGGUACUACUUCCAACUUCUAUUUUUUACUAACUAAAACAUCCGUUUCUUCACAUCUUUCCAAAACAUGACAUAUCAUUUCAUCUUCUUGGUUAAAAUUUAAUUGCAGUAUGGAGGUGUAAUUGGGACUUUCAACUGCCAAGGAGCAGGGUGGGACCCAAAAGAACAAAGAAUCAAGGGACAUCCCGAAUGCUACAAACCAAUGUCCACAACAGUGCACGUCAAUGAUAUAGAAUGGGACCAAAAACCAGAAGCAGCCCCAAUGGGGAAUUUCGUCGAAUACAUUGUGUACCUGAACCAAGCUGAACAAAUUCUCCACACGACCCCAAAAUCCGAACCGCUAAAAGCGACCAUUCAACCAUCUACAUUCGAACUCUUCAACUUCAUACCGCUAAGAAAGCUAGGUUCCAACAUCAAAUUCGCUCCCAUUGGCCUGACGAACAUGUUCAACUGUUCAGGAACCAUUCAGCAUUUGAAGUAUAACGAAAAUGGAGUAGAAUUGAAAGUGAAAGGAGGAGGAAAUUUCUUGGCUUACUCAAGUGGGUCACCGAAGAAAUGCGUCUCCAAUGGAAUUGAAGUGGAAUUUGAAUGGAAAUCCGAUGGAAAGCUGAGUUUUGAUCUUCAUUGGAUUGAAGAAGCUGGUGGAGUUUCUAAUUUGGAUAUUUUCUUUUGAGAGAGAGAGAGAGAGAGAAAAAAAAAUGAAUAUCUAAGUUGAAAUUUUAUUUAAUUUCAUGCAUUUUGUUGUGUUGUGUUAAGUGACAUGUGUGCUAAGGAAUAGCCAUGUCAAUUAAAUAAAAAGCUUUUAUCAUUAUUAUUAUUACUAUUUUUGUAUUUUUCAACUUUUUAUUUUGUUUUAUUUGAUUGAGAUUUGUUUGAGGAUUUGCCCUUUGAAAGAGGGAAAUUAUAUUUUGGAUUUUGUUUCUACUAAAUAAAUGUGUUGCAAAUUUGAGACUUCA
rnacentral:lncRNA from 1 species